rnacentral:rRNA from 1 species
AAAAUUGCAUGCAAGGUCCUUGCCAAUCGCUUGGGGCCUGAGCUCCACAAUUUGAUCUCCCAUAGUCAGAUUGCUUUCAUCAGAGGCCAGUCCAUACAAGAUAAUUUUCUCUAUGUCCAGAAUGUGAUCAAGGAAGCCCACAAGAAAAAGAACCCCCUCUUGUUCCUAAAACUGGAUAUAGCCAAGGCAUUUGAUUCUUUGAGCUGGUCAUACUUGAUUGAGGUCCUCACGGCAUUUGGGUUUGGACAGUGGGUGGAGGGACAUUGUAUGCACUACAAAAAAAUACACUUCCGUGAUGAUACGUGUUUGUCAUAG